AGAGUUUGAUCAUGGCUCAGAUUGAACGCUGGCGGCAGGCCUAACACAUGCAAGUCGAACGGUAACAGGAAACAGCUUGCUGUUUCGCUGACGAGUGGCGGACGGGUGAGUAAUGUCUGGGAAACUGCCUGAUGGAGGGGGAUAACUACUGGAAACGGUAGCUAAUACCGCAUAACGUCGCAGGACCAAAGAGGGGGACCUUCGGGCCUCUUGCCAUCGGAUGUGCCCAGAUGGGAUUAGCUAGUAGGUGGGGUAAAGGCUCACCUAGGCGACGAUCCCUAGCUGGUCUGAGAGGAUGACCAGCCACACUGGAACUGAGACACGGCCCAAACUCCUACGGGAGGCAGCAGUGGGGAAUAUUGCACAAUGGGGGAAACCCUGAUGCAGCGACGCCGCGUGAGCGAAGAAGUAUUUCGGUAUGUAAAGCUCUAUCAGCAGGGAAGAAACUGACGGUACCUGACUAAGAAGCACCGG
rnacentral:rRNA from 1 species